rnacentral:tRNA from 1 species
GCCGUGGUAGCUCAGUGCCCAGAACGUCGGUCUUGUAAACCGAACGCCGGAGGUUCAAAUCCUCCCCACCGCA